rnacentral:rRNA from 1 species
UACGAAGGGGGCUAGCGUUGCUCGGAAUCACUGGGCGUAAAGGGUGCGUAGGCGGGCUGUCAAGUCUGGGGUGAAAUCCCGCGGCUCAACCGUGGAACUGCCUCAGAUACUGACGGUCUCGAGGGGGAUAGGGGCGAGCGGAACUAAUGGUGGAGCGGUGAAAUGCGUUGAUAUCAUUAGGAACUCCGGUGGCGAAGGCGGCUCGCUGGAUCUCUUCUGACGCUGAGGCGCGAAAGCUAGGGGAGCAAACGGG